GCCUGGUACUCAUAUUUCUCACACGGUGGCUCAGAUGAAUCAACUGCCGCAGCGUUCGAAGACUCAUAGCGUUGACUUACGAGAAUUUUGUUUGCCAAAUUCAAGUUGAUUGUAGCUUUCGUGCCAAUACUUUUGGAUGCCGAGAAAGCAGAAAAUGGCCGUCUAUGGAGAUGAGACAGCUUAGGCGCAGACUCCACCGCCGAUUCAGGGGCCGGAGAUGGGGGUGCGGCGGCGGGGGCAAAGCUACGGGUGGCGGCGCCAGCGGAGCGCACGGCGGCGGACACCGAUCGCCUCGACGCGCCGAUCAUCUUCGCAGCAGUGUGGUGAAUGGGGACGAAGUGGG
rnacentral:misc_RNA from 1 species